UACGUAGGGUGCGAGCGUUGUCCGGAUUUAUUGGGCGUAAAGAGCUCGUAGGCGGUCUGUCGCGUCGGCUGUGAAAACCCGGAGCUCAACUCCGGGCCUGCAGUCGAUACGGGCAGACUGGAGUUCGGCAGGGGAGACUGGAAUUCCUGGUGUAGCGGUGAAAUGCGCAGAUAUCAGGAGGAACACCGGUGGCGAAGGCGGGUCUCUGGGCCGAUAUUGACGCUGAGGAGCGAAGGCGUGGGGAGCGAACAGG
rnacentral:rRNA from 1 species